GUGAUCCCUGCCACAGUGCUGGCAGAUCUUUCCACAUGCUGCCCCUGGAGCCUGAGGAGGGGCCUGGAUCACUAGUCUGGGCCUCUUAUUUUAUUGGACCGACACAGUAGGUGCUGGUCUGUAGGGUGGAGCCGAGGGUCGGUGACUCCCUGCUGACUGAGGACGGGUGUUGAAACUCCUCUCCACAAUCUGUGCCUUUGCUAGAACGGCUGAGUAUGUCUUGAGCUCCAGUACCAAUAAGUGUUGCUUGAUUUCAAGGCGGAGGCCCUACUGGAAUCUCCUAGCCUUCCUACCUUCAUCCAUCAAUGUCUCCGGGGAGUAUCAGCCCAACUCUAGGAACUUACUAGCAUAUUCCGAUACCGUCAUGUUUCCCUGGACCAGCUGAACAAACUCCAUCUCCUUCAGGUGUCGGAUGUGCUCAGGGAGAUACUCUGCAUAGAAGGCUGUUAAGAACUGCUCCCAAGUGGCUGGUGUAGGCAUGGUGGUCUGCUUGAGCUCCCACCAGCAUGUAGGAAGCAAGGGCAGCUCUCUGCUCAGGAACCACUCUCAAGGUCUUGAAAGCUCUCUUAGUCUCUG
rnacentral:lncRNA from 1 species